rnacentral:lncRNA from 1 species
CAUAGUUACUUGGGACAACAGUUUUAGCAGGGCUCUCUUUCUCCUUUCCUGAUCUCUCUGUUAAGCUGCCUGGCUCAUUUGAUAUCACAUCCAAAUUAUCAGCUGAUUGCUCUAUUGUUUUGGACAAUGCCCUGAAGCAUACCAAAAUGUGUCUGGAAUUGGUGGGUUCUUGGUCUUACUGACUUUAAGAAUGAAGUUGCGGACUUUUGCGGGUGAUCCACCCUACCACAUAUUGUCUCCUAAUGGCCGUCCAGUUUAUCCUGGAGCCCUUGCAUGACACAGGCCUAUCGAAGCAUAGGAGGAUGCCAAUAUUUUACCUCUUGGGUACUUUCUGUGUAGAAGAUUCAUAACAAGAACAAUACUUAUUCUGCAAUUCUUUAUAUAAAGGCUCCAGAGGGAAGUGAGAAGGAUGUUCACUUGCUGGUGAGAGAAGGAGCUGGUUCCAUCCAUUACGCAGUCCCCUGGGAGCGCUAAAUGCAACUUUAUCUCAACGGGGAGUGGACGAUGAGCAGGACGUCGCUAGAGGGAAAGAGGCCUCACUUCCCGUUUCCUUUGGCAGCGCCCUUUUCCCGACCUAAGGGAGCAGACCUUCGUUGGUUGGCGUGAGGACUGGCGGGAGAGGUUUUGUGCCAGGAUCCGCACUGUCUGGGGUGAACGCUCCUCACCUUUGACCUGAACCGCCAACUUCCCAUCCUCCACUUUUGGAGAGCGCGCCUGAUAGCUGCUGCCCACCUGGGCACUGACAUCCUCCUUCCGACCGGGUGCGGAGAAAGGCACAAAGGAAGUAGACCAAGGAGACUGAAGGUGGUUAUGAAGACUGUGCAUCUCUGAGGACAUCUUAAACAAAGAUGACCCAAAUCUUUGAUCUUCAAAUAGUCGAUGUGAACUGCUUAACAAAAUGCCCUGGGAAAACUCUGUCUGAAACAAGCAGCUUGGGGGUUUGAUUUCAUUAGUUACUGGACAAGAACUGGAAUGGAGUGAAAAAUCUUCAUUCAUUUCUUGGUCAGAUGGAGAGAGGAGAAAAAAAGAAGUGGGUUUCCAUUCACUUCCAUUUUCUAACUGAUCAUUAGUUAGAGAACCUUUGGAAAGGUUUAGCUCAGUUUUUUCUUCCAACUUAUCAGGUUCCUCAAGAAAUUCACUGCCUUGAGAUGACUUUGAUAACCCAUCCAAAUCCAGUGACUUAAAACCGUUAUUACAAGGGCUCUUGCUGUUGUCUGACUCUGACAUCAUUGAAUCCAACUCAGAGAUUUUGUCAAGGUAAGCAGCAUCCAUCGAUGCUUCACUGGAUGUUCUUGUCCGGUUCAUUUCAAAAGAGCGAAUAGAAUUCAACCUUUUGGAUAAACAUAAGCCUGAUUUCUCACUCAAUUUUGAAGAUAUUUCUCCAACAGAAUUUGCUAUCGUGUUCCCCUCUGAACUUUCAAAAUCUAAGUUUUGGGCAUAGCUUGUGGAACAACAGUCCCAAAAUCCUGUCUUUGGGGAAGAAAAACAUUCUGAUUUCUUUUCAUUUUCACUUCUACUUAUAUCAUCUUCUGAAGAAUCUUUAUUAGAAACAUUUGAAGAAUCACAAAAAUCAUCAAACACCAAUUUUCUGAGAUGGUUUGAGUGCUUUUUGGAACCUCCUGCUUGGACCACAGAGCUCUCUCUAUUUUCUGGAGUACUGAGCUGAAGGCAACUAAGGGACAAAGGAGUACAAGGAGCUGGAAGAUCAUAAAGUUCUUCAUCUUUGUAGGGUACACAGUCACUUGGUUUAUUCCCCCAUUCUCUUUCCAAAUAAGUAUCCAUACUUGUAUCUGUCACAUCUAACAUUACUUCUACCUGUUCUUGAUAUAGGUCUUUGUUCUUAGAACAGUUAAGGUCUGCUUUGCUGGUACUUUCCUGCCUUGCAGAACUGGUGUCACACAGUCUGCUGCUGGAAGGCUUCGCUAGGUGAGAAGAACUGGAGGUGGAUGAGCCAGGCUGCUUUCUGGCACUAUCGCCUUGAUUCUUUGACACCACAUCCUCCUCACUGCCUUUGCUCCCUUUGCCAUCUGCAGAAAGUGCUGUCUGGCAAAUGGAAUUCAUAGCUUCUUUCUCUUCACUUGAAUUUUUUAGCUGUGCAACUUGAGAUUCUAGUUCCUCUAUAUACUUAUCACUUCGUUCCAGGGCUUUCUUGAGGCGAUUGGUUUCACGCUCAUACUGUUCUACUUUGGACUGAAGAGCAGCAACUGCAAACCUUCCAAACCUACAAAGAAUGGAAAGAUAGUUAAUCUUAUAACUCAAGCUUUUUUCUUUUCAAGGUUUGAGAGUGCAAACUGUCCCAGGCUAUUCUAAUUUCACCUAACAGUGACAUUUCAGACCACUCAAUGAGUAGGGCAAAUGCCAGAUGUAUAUUUUCAAAAAAUGGUUUCCCCACUUACAUAAUAAUAAACAUAUGAUAAUAAUAGC